rnacentral:lncRNA from 1 species
UAAAAGAUUUAUGUGAAUGGAAUGGUGGAGAGUUGGAGUCUUGGAGCCUUGAAUUGAAGGCUUGAAGCAGGAUGGUAGAAUCUCAACUGAAGCUUCUUGGAGUUCUUGGAGCCUGGCGUCUUCUUCUUGGAGUUGGAGUCUUGUUUGCCCUUUGGCACUGGCGGCGUGCUUUUGCAUCAGAUGAAGCCUUAGGGCUUCAUCUGAUGUAUUUUUUUUUUCCCCUCAUUAUACAAAACGACGUCGUUCCACUAAAAGUGAAACGACGUCGUUUUGUAUUUAGAGGGCAAAAAAAAAAUUCAAAAUGAAAUGGGUCAUCUUCUUCCUCAGCAGUCAGCACGGCAGCGGCUUUCCAGCUCUUCUUCACUUCCUCUGCAGCAUUCAUGGAGCCAUGGAGGAUGG